GUUUUGGUUGACAGAAAGCAAAUCUAUGUAUUAUUGUAUUUGCAAAAUGUCGAAACUUUAUGAACUAGGACGGUCUGAGGC